GAGCUCCCGACAGGCAGCGCGAGAAGGCUGAAGUCUGGUGGCCCAUCUGUCGCAGGGUGGGGGCAGGGGCGGACUCUACUCGGCUAGGGCAGGGCUGUGGGCCGAGCCCUUCCGCACGCGGCGACAAUCCACCCCAGCCUGUGAGGACACACGGUCCGCAGGCCUAACCUAGGGGAAAUUUUUUUCUUCUCCCUUUUCGGGGCCUUUUCUGCCUUCUCUGUCUCGCAGUCUAUGUACCUUGUUCUCUUUUUUCCACCCCCAGCCCGAGUUUGCCCUACAUUUCAAAGCCGGCAGGAAGCGUCUUUCUUUUUAUAUAUUCAUUUAUGGAAGAGGCAGUAAAACCGUGAGAUUUUACAGCUGAAACUGUGUGUAGCUCAUAAAGGACUGACUGGUCCAGGGAUGUCCGGCAAAGGGAUCCUUAACUGGAAAGUUUCAGUGACUCAUGUUAGGUUUGACUAGUCAUUAAAAGCCCUCACCUAAACUUUUUUCUGUCCUUUCAUCCUCCUUGCCAGGAGAUUUACAAAUUAGUCAGGAUUGCCAUAUUUUUUAGUGUGCCCAGCAGUACCUAACAGGGGCUAUUUUGGUGCAUCCAGUUCCUUAGCUGCCAUUACGUAAAGUGGUUUUCUUUUGAAAGGCAUCUGUCAGCUAUCCUUAAAGUCCUUUCAUAAUGAGUGCAUCUCACACUUGCAGGUUGCAUUUUAGUAAUUGUGGGGAAAGUGUCAAGAAAAAAAAUAAAAGUUCGCCUUUAGUUCUCACUGCACAAGGAGAUCUGCAAGCUCCAGCCCACUCCAGAGACAGCUCAACAUCUGCAUACAACUGACUGAACUAGCUCACCACAGCCUAUCACUGGAUAGAGCCAACCCCCAGGACUCCAGGUAUAACAGGGCCCCAGACCUUAGCACAACUGACUCCAUGAUGGAAGUGCCGUUCAGGCCGUAACACUCAGCACAUGGACAGUAGCAUCUGCCAAAAGGAAAACAAAGAAAUAAUCCAUCCAAGUCCGUGGUUCUGGUUCAGUGGUAUCAAGGAAAGCUGGGCCUAGCGGCUUGCUUAGCAAGAAGCCUAGGUUUCAACCCACAACAUUUCCUUUCAAAAAGUCAAGGGCAGCCUGUGCAAUUUACUGAGCUGCUACUUCAAUAAGGUACUUGGGAAGGUGAGGAAGAAGAAUUACUUGGAUCCAGAAGAUCUAUCUGAGCCUUGUCAACAGCAAAAAUAUCAACUAAGAUGGAUGAAAUCUGAGCAUAGUCGGGACAACAUGGAUUCACGUCAGCCUACACAAUAAAGUUCCAUUUCAAAAC